rnacentral:sRNA from 1 species
ACCCUUUCUACGACCGCUACCGCGACAAGAUCCAGCAGCUGCGCAGGUCAGACCCAGCUGCUUUUGAGUCCCGCCUGGAGAAACGCAGUGAAUUUCGGAAGCAGCCAGUGGGGCAUUCCAGGCAAGGUGAUUUUAUCAAAUGUGUGGAACAGAAGGUAAGACCUGCCCCCAUUUGUGGUGUUUGCUUACCAGCACUCCUUCAGCCUCCUUACCCUCACCCUUAUCCUUAAAGUUGGUUUAUUGAUGGGUCAGCUGAGUGAACUGAACAUAGUCUCUCCCAACUCCAUUUCCAUCUAUAAAUGUUUAUCCUGCUCUUUCAAGGCAAAGUGCUGUGGUCAUGGUGGAGAUAUAGAGGUAUGAGAGGGGUACUUCCUGCUCCCAAGAGGAGCAGUCUAGUGGUCAAGGCAAGGCACACAUGGUAGUGGGCUAGAGGUAUCAGAGAAAAUUUCCCACGGGAGAUGGAACCUGACCUAGGCUAGGAACAUUGUGGGGGAUUUAAAUUAAGUAGAGAGGAGGGAAUGGGACUUUGAUGUAGAGCAGGGGUCAUCAAAUUUUUUCUGUAAAGAACUAGAUGUUAAAUAUUUUAGGCAUUGUGGGCCUUAUGGUCUUCUUUGUGACUACUCAGCUCUGCCAUUAUAGUGCAAAAGCAGGCCUAGACCGUACGUAAAUGAAUAGGUAUGGUUCUGUUCCAAUAAAACUUAAUUUACAAAAAUAUUUGGCAGACUAGAUUUAGUUUCCUGACAACCAACCACCACUGCCAGCCCACCUCCAUCCAUUCCCAUGUUGAUGAAUUAGCUUAAACAGAGGAAGAGCUUUGAAAGUAAAAGGGGUUUCAGGAGACAGCAAGGUACUGUGUCCAAUUAAAAUGG